rnacentral:rRNA from 1 species
AAGGGCACCACAAGAACGCGUGGAGCAUGUGGCUUAAUUUGACUCAACGCGGGAAAUCUUACCGGGUCCGGACACACUGAGGAUUGACAGGCAAUAUUAAUACACUGCGACCGAGUGUAUUAUUUUAUACAAACUAGCUAGUGGUAUUAUGUUAAAAUAUGCUAGUCCUUUCAUGAUUAUGUGAUAGGUGGUGCAUGGCCGUUCUUAGUUCGUGGAGUGAUCUGUCUGCUUAAUUGCGUUUCACUAAGGGCCUAUACAAUUUACGUAUGUCGUGUUAUAUGACUUUGACCCCUCUGUCUUAAAAUUUAUUUUUUUCGAUUAGCGCGCGUGUCUCAGAAAUAUAUUUUAUACGCUCAUACAAUUUAGGUCCUGAAAGCAACGAACGUGACCGCAACCUCUUGUUGUUCUCAUAUGACCGCGCUACGCAGUGUGUAAAAAAUUAAUUUUUUUAUUACACGCAAAGAGAACUAUUUUUAAAACUAGAGGGACCGCUGUUAUCUUCUUUAAACCAGAGGAAGGUUGCGGCAAUAACAGGUCUGUGAUGCCCUUAGAUGUUCCGGGCUGCACACGUGCUACAAUGAUUAUUGCAGUGAGCGUCUCAUUUUUAUUACACCGCAUGCGCGAGUCCAUUUUUUUAAUUUUCGUGAGUCAAAUCAUUGAUUAUAAAAUUAUAUGUAUCUCUGCGCGCGGUAAAGCCUGCUUCGAGAGUAAGUGGGUAAUCAAUUAGAAGUAAUGAUUUCCUCCUAUAUAUGUUAAUUUAUUUUAAUAUAUUUCUUAGCACACAUAUAUACGGCAACUAUGCCCGGGUAACCUUGUUGUUACUUUUGUGCGCAUAGUUGUACCCUUUUUCCGUAUGUGCGAUUGUCAAUUCAUGGUGGGGACAGACCAUUGUUAAUUGUUGGUCUCGGUCUUAACUAGGAAUGCCUUGUACGGGUCUUUGGUUCAACAAACCACCCGGAAUACGUCCCUGCCCUUUGUACACACCGCCCGUCGCUCUUACCGAUGGACUUCUCUGUGAGUUUGAGGGACUGGUUCAUUCAAUAUAUUUUUGCAAUUUCAUUAUUGCGUAUAUAUGACACACUAUGGAAACUUAAACGAACAGUGUGGUCUAAAGGAAAGAGAAGUCGUAACAAGGCAUCAGUAGGUGAACCUGCAGAAG